rnacentral:rRNA from 1 species
UACGUAGGUGGCAAGCGUUAAUCGGAAUUACUGGGCGUAAAGCGUGCGCAGGCGGUUAUGCAAGACAGAUGUGAAAUCCCCGGGCUCAACCUGGGAACUGCAUUUGUGACUGCAUGGCUAGAGUGCGGCAGAGGGGGGAUGGAAUUCCGCGUGUAGCAGUGAAAUGCGUAGAUAUGCGGAGGAACACCGAUGGCGAAGGCAAUCCCCUGGGCCUGCACUGACGCUCAUGCACGAAAGCGUGGGGAGCAAACAGG